rnacentral:rRNA from 2 species
AUCUACGGCCAUACCACCCUGAACACGCCCGAUCUCGUCUGAUCUCGGAAGCUAAGCAGGGUCGGGCCUGGUUAGUACUUGGAUGGGAGAAAGUGCUUUAAACAUGUCCUAAAGUAUGGGAGUUAUCUACAGGUGUUAUAUUAU